UAGUGUAAUACAAGUGGUGCAGAAUUUGUUUUGGCCGAUGUGGGACUAAACAAAUGUGGCGAGAUUAUGCUUUGAAGGCUUGUGGCGGUCAUCAUGUUCUUGUGGUGGUCAUCACGUUCUUGUUUAGCUUAAUAGAUAAGAAUUAGCUAGCUUAGUUAUUAAGAAUGUAAGCCUAUAAAAAGGCAUGGUCAUCCAUUGUUAUAUCAUCAUCAAGUUUGAAUCAAAUAUAGUAGCAAGUUAAAUAUUCUUCCUCCGUUCUUUCUUGUUUAAAUUUUCUUGUUUAUGUCCCACUGAUGCUCAUUUGUGCUGCACUUGUGUGGCUCAUUUGGGUUGCACUUGUGUGGUCCUUUUUGCUCCAUUUUUCUUUGUUUUUAUCAAUGUGUCCUUUUUAGUAUGUUCCGGUGCAAGUGACUGAAAAACAUAAAAAUACCAAAGUAAUAUGACGAAAAUGUAGAAAUAAAUAAUAAAAACAUAGGCUAAUAAAUUAACUAAAUAAAUAGUACAUUUUCCGGUGUAUCAAACUCCCCUAAACUUGAACCAUUGCUUGUCCUCAAGCAAUUUAGCUUGCAUAUAGAAAACAUUUGAAAUGCGGAGCAACUCACACACACAGACUCAGAGAAAAAUAACAUCACAAGUACUCAUACGUGGUCAGAAAUUCAGAUCGGCUAAGAUUAAUUAGUUAGGUUCUUACACAAUCAAGAAGGGCAUUUCAACGACACACAAAGUUCUCCCUCUUAUACAUAUCGAAUUUGGAUCAUGCCGUUGUACUAAAAUCUAAAUCUUCUCCUUUGUUUCAUCCUUUUUCAUUCUAGACAGUCACAUUAAGACCCUUUAUCUAUGUCACACACAUGGUAAGAAAGUCGGUUAGCGUCUUUAUUCAUCUUUUUCAACUCGCAAUUUUAGCUCGAUGAUGCAAUAUUUUUG
rnacentral:lncRNA from 1 species